rnacentral:rRNA from 1 species
GAUGAACGUUGGCGGUGUGCCUAAUACAUGCAAGUCGAACGGAGACUGUAGCAAUACUGUCUUAGUGGCGAACGGGUGAGUAACGCGUUGGUGAUCUGCCUCGAAGUGUGGAAUAACCUCCCGAAAGGGAAGCUAAUACCGCAUAGUCUCUCAAGGUUUAGAAAAGUUGAGAGUAAAGGAUUUAUUCGCUUCGAGAGGAGCCUGCGUCCCAUCAGCUAGUUGGUAGGGUAACGGCCUACCAAGGCCAAUGACGGGUAGGGGACCUGAGAGGGUGGCCCCCCACAAUGGAACUGAAACACGGUCCAUACACCUACGGGUGGCAGCAGUAGGGAAUAUUAGAAAUGGGCGGAAGCCUGAUCUAGCAACACCGCGUGUGCGAUGAAGGCCUUCGGGUCGUAAAGCACUUUUUGGAGGGAAUAGGAAGGAAGGUACCUCCAGAAUAAGUCUCGGCUAACUACGUG